AUUGAACGCUGGCGGCAUGCCUUACACAUGCAAGUCGAACGGCAGCACGGGAGCAAUCCUGGUGACGAGUGGCGAACGGGUGAGUAAUGUAUCGGAACGUGCCCAGUAGUGGGGGAUAACUACUCGAAAGAGUGGCUAAUACCGCAUGAGAUCUCUGGAUGAAAGCGGGGGACCGUAAGGCCUCGCGCUACUGGAGCGGCCGAUAUCAGAUUAGGUUGUUGGUGAGGUAAAGGCUCACCAAGCCGACGAUCUGUAGCUGGUCUGAGAGGACGACCAGCCACACUGGGACUGAGACACGGCCCAGACUCCUACGGGAGGCAGCAGUGGGGAAUUUUGGACAAUGGGCGCAAGCCUGAUCCAGCAAUGCCGCGUGCAGGACGAAGGCCUUCGGGUUGUAAACUGCUUUUGUACGGAACGAAAAGCCUUCUUCUAAUACAGGAGGGUCAUGACGGUACCGUAAGAAUAAGCACCGGCUAACUACGUG
rnacentral:rRNA from 1 species